rnacentral:lncRNA from 1 species
AGAAAAAGAGAGAGAGAUUAUGGGGUGUGUGGACCAUAUAAUGCUUGUGUUUGAACUUGAUCCACCUGAGGAACCAGCAGGAUGAUAUGGUAGGGGCCCACCUUGUCCCUUUCGUCUUAAAAUUCGGAGAAAGGAACUGUGUGCAUCAAAAUUUGUCCUCUAUUAGAGGUUUAUUUUGUCAUAAUCCUUGUCUGUGCUAGACACUUCCAUGUAAAUCAUCCGCAUUCUCAAACACACAGCAAACAUCAGGAGAGCUGUUAACAUGUGCAGAAAGGUGUCAGAACAUGUUCUGUGUGUGGCUGGAGAAAUCCUGAUGUGAGUAGCUGAAGGUCCUUGGCCAUGCAGCUGGCCCUCACAGCUCCCUGCUUUGGCCCUGUCAUUGGGAGAGAAUGGCUGGGAUGACACACUGCUGGAGACAGCCUCUGCCAAUACACUGAGUCUUCAGUGGGACCCCUGGAUGCUUCUGCUCAGUGUUCCACCUCACCUCCUUGAUGAGAAAGGGGUAUUCCUCCCAAAAAACAUGAGUUGUUCUCACCUUUCUGGAGUCUGAACUUCUUUACAUUUGAGGUAUUACAGGUAACUCUGUGGGGAGAACAGAAGUAGAUGGACAGACAGAAAGGUAUACAGAAGAAUAAUCUAUGGUCAGAUUAGAAAGAAGUACCCACUAUUUUCAGAAAAAUAAGUUUUUGUUACGUAAAGGAGCAAUGAUUUAAUAUUGCAAGAUAAGUACUUUCCUUAGGAGUAGAUGUUAAUUGGCUUGUAGUAGGGUUUGCUUCUGUGCAAAGAUUUCUUCAUUCAGUCUUAACUUUUUUGCUGCCAUAAUGUUAGUGAAGUAUUUGUUAUACUUGAACAGAGCAAAAGCAGUAAGACAUUUACAUUCUUUCUGUGAAAAAAAAAAAAUAGUAUUAUCAGUUUCCAG